ACCCACUUAACUCAAUGGUUAGAGUAUCGCUUUCAUAUGACGAGAGUCGUUGGUUCAAAUCUAAUAGUAGGUA
rfam:Picea glauca, whole genome shotgun sequence.